rnacentral:rRNA from 1 species
GAUCAUUACCGGGUUUAUAAGGAUGCGGCCUCCGGGUCGUCACCCUCCCAACCCUUUGUCUACCAUAACCCCACUAUCCUUCGGCGUGCGGCCCCCCUGUUCUUUGCGGGGGCGGCCCGCGCCGGUGUUUCCAAAACCUUAUUUUGAUGUCAACAGUGCCGUCUGAGCGUUUUUCUUGCAAAAGAAUAAAAACUUUCAACAACGGAUCUCUUGGUUCUGGCAUCGAUGAAGAACGCAGCGAAAUGCGAUAAGUAAUGUGAAUUGCAGAAUUCAGUGAAUCAUCGAAUCUUUGAACGCACAUUGCGCCCUUUAGUACUCUGAAGGGCACACCUGUUCGAGCGCUAGUUUAACAUAUUCAAGCUUAGCUUGGUGAUGAGGAAUAGGUAUACUAAUAUGGUAGGCCGCCUCGAAACGCAUAGGCGUUGCCGUCCGGCUCCGAGCGUAGCAAGCGAAAGCCCUCGCUCAGGAAUCGUCGGGUCGGCAGCCUGCCGUUAAAGCUUCUACCGCGUAACUGCGGUAUACCACGACUUUAGCCUCGGAUCAGGUGGGGAUACCCGCUGAACUUAAGCAUAUCAAUAAGCGGAGGAAAAGAAACCAACAGGGAUUGCCUUAGUAACGGCGAGUGAAGCGGCAACAGCUCAAAUUUGAAAUCUGGCGUCUUCGGCGUCCGAGUUGUAAUUUGUAGAGGAUGCUUCUGGCGCGGUACCGACCGAAGUUCUUUGGAACAGGACGUCAUAGAGGGUGAGAACCCCGUAUGCGUUCGGUACGCAGCCGCCAGUGCGAAGCUCCUUCGACGAGUCGAGUUGUUUGGGAAUGCAGCUCUAAAUGGGUGGUAAAUUCCAUCUAAAGCUAAAUACUGGCCAGAGACCGAUAGCGCACAAGUAGAGUGAUCGAAAGAUGAAAAGCACUUUGAAAAGAGAGUUAAAAAGUACGUGAAAUUGUUGAAAGGGAAGCGCUUGCAACCAGACUCGUCCGCGGGUGUACCGUUUGCCGUCAGGCGAGCGGGUACGCGCCCGCGGCCGGGCCAGCAUCGGUUUGGGCGGCCGGAUAAAGGCUACGGGAACGUGGCCCCCUUUCGGGGGGGUGUUAUAGCCCGUAGCGUAAUGCGGCCAGCCCGGACCGAGGACCGCGCU